AUUUGGGUAGUUGUCUUAAAACAUGUUUUGCAGAAGGUAAAAGGACUGGGAAGCAUGCCCCCUAUGGGACUCAGCUGAAGGAAGCAGAGGAAGACUUGCCUGGAUAAGAUAGCAACAGAGCAAAUGAGUGAGGGCGGAUUGCACGCUACUUGGAGACAGAUGCAUCCAAGUGAGAUGAAAUCUAUGUCAGCCCUAUCAGGGCCGACACCCCUAAUCAGAAGCCUCACAAUCUUUGAUCAACUCCAACAGGCUGCAUUGGAAGCAUUUGGAGAAAUAUUUGAUAGAACUCCACAUAAUUAGAUUGACUGGCUUAAUUAGAAAAAGUUUGCGGGCAAAGGGAAGCUGUCGCGUCUGUGGUUUGCUCUGAUGGUUUGCAGCCUCAUCCCAGGAGGCCUUUAGCACAAAGCCCUCCCUGCUGAGCUAACACACACUGGUGUGUUUUCACAUCCAAAUCAGGCCACUGAGGGUCUAUAAAUCCAAGGGAUGGUACCAAAGAAUGACCUUCCUCUCCCCUCCCGCCCUCCCUCCCAAACGGCAGCAACAGAGCUUGCCAAAAUAACAGAAAUAACACUUUCUUCUCGUUUCCUUUGCUGAAAUAACAAGGCAGAUAAAGAAACGUUCUCAGAUGUUAAGGUAGCCUGCAGAAAGAUCGUGCUCGAGUCAGUUGAAGGAGGGGAACUUCUUAAGACCAAGCAGAAAGACAGCCCCGCCUCCGUCACUAACACCUCCGUGUCCCAGGCACAAUACUUUCUGAACAGAAACUUUCAUUGUUUCAUCCGACGGCUCGGGAGCUUCAGAAACAAAAACAUUCAGAAAUGUGGUGAUGGCUGGAUAGCCACCUUACCCAUAACCCAUCAAGAAGGGGCCGUGAAGAUGGAGACUAGGGGGAAGGAUCUUGGUGUGAUAGCACACUUUCAAGGGAAGAGGUGGAGAAGAAUUUGCCCAUCCCAGGAAGCAGUUCAGUUAUUUGCUGAAGAACUGAAAAGUAGAUCAUUUCAAGGAUCAGAAGCCAAAGGAGCUCAGAGUAAAGAGAACAACAGCAAAUUGCCCAAAACACACCCGUAUUUUUACUUACUCUAUUCUAACACAAAACUGCAAUUUCAAAAUGAGAUGAAAAAACUGAGCCUAGGAGAAAUCAAGUGGCUUCUCCAGGACCAAACAGCCGGUAAGUUUCUGAGUGGAGAUGUGAACUCAGAUCUUUCUGAC
rnacentral:lncRNA from 1 species